GGGUGUUCCAAGCUGGGAUUUGCCCCAGCUAAAGAUGGCGAAAAGGUGUCCCAAGAUGGAGGCCGCUGCUCUCAGAGUUGGGGUGUCCUGUCGGGUGGGGCUGGGGGGUGUUGUGAGUGCCGCGUUCAGAGAUACAGCUCUGUGGGAUUUAGUAUUGUGGCUGGCAGCUCUCACACAGACCUAGUGCUGUGUCCCCAGGUGCAGGCUACCACAUGUAGGGGACUGUGGCAGUGGUUGCAGUGUCCCAAGAUGGAGACUACCAGAGAAGUCCUGUGUUGGUAGAUGGGGGACCACAUGGAAGUGGUGGCCAGAGUUCCUUUGCAUGGCCUGUGGCCAGAUGACCUGUGUGGGAGUGGCGGCUGGUAUUCCGGAGUGGGUGCUAAUGCCAAUGGUCCUAUUCAGCACCUGGAGGACCUGCAUGGAGGAGUGGUUGGUAGUCCUGUGCUGAUGCUGAUGCCUGGAGCUUGUUUGGCACGGCAGCUGUGAUUUCUGUGUGGGAACAGCAGUUGGGGGUCCUCUAAUCACUCACAGAGUAACAGUAUUCCCACUACUUGAAUCACAGGUCCUAGAAUGACACAGAAUGCAAUCUCCCUCAAGCCUGCCAUCUUAGAUCCUCUGGAGGCAUGUUUUUAUGAUACACUUUUCUGAUUUGCACAAAGGCAAGUUAUUGAUUGCUAUAUUACAAAUCACCUCAAAUUUUAAUGGCUUAAAAUAGUGAUUUCCUUUUUUUUUUUUUUUUUCCUGGGAGUUGGCUAUGUGGUUCUAUUGGUUUCACCUGGACUCACUUGUGGCUGCAUUGAGUCCAGGUGAAACCUGAAAGGCAAGUGACUCACCUGAGACAGAGAUUCAACCGAGAGAUUUAUU
rnacentral:lncRNA from 1 species